GAUCAUGGCUCAGGAUGAACGCUAGCUACAGGCUUAACACAUGCAAGUCGAGGGGAAACGACAUCGAAAGCUUGCUUUUGAUGGGCGUCGACCGGCGCACGGGUGAGUAACGCGUAUCCAACCUACCUUUAACAGGGGCAUAACACUGAGAAAUUGGUACUAAUUCCCCAUAACAUUCGAGAAGGCAUCUUCUUGGGUUAAAAACUCCGGUGGUUAAAGAUGGGCAUGCGUUGUAUUAGCUAGUUGGUGAGG
rnacentral:rRNA from 1 species